rnacentral:rRNA from 1 species
GAUCAUGGCUCAGGAUGAACGCUAGCUACAGGCUUAACACAUGCAAGUCGAGGGGAAACGACAUCGAAAGCUUGCUUUUGGUGGGCGUCGACCGGCGCACGGGUGAGUAACGCGUAUCCAACCUGCCCACCACUUGGGGAUAACCUUGCGAAAGUAAGACUAAUACCCAAUGAUAUCCCACGAAGGCAUCCGAAUGGGAUUAAAGAUUUAUCGGUGAUGGAUGGGGAUGCGUCUGAUUAGCUUGUUGGCGGGGUAACGGCCCACCAAGGCAACGAUCAGUAGGGGUUCUGAGAGGAAGGUCCCCCACAUUGGAACUGAGACACGGUCCAAACUCCUACGGGAGGCAGCAGUGAGGAAUAUUGGUCAAUGGGCGAGAGCCUGAACCAGCCAAGUAGCGUGCAGGACGACGGCCCUAUGGGUUGUAAACUGCUUUUAUAAGGGAAUAAAGUGAGUCUCGUGAGACUUUUUGCAUGUACCUUAUGAAUAAGGACCGGCUAAUUCCGUG